rnacentral:rRNA from 1 species
UACGUAGGGGGCUAGCGUUGUCCGGAAUCAUUGGGCGUAAAGCGCGCGUAGGCGGUCAGGUAAGUCCGGUGUGAAAGUCAAAGGCUCAACCUUUGAAUGCCGCUGGAUACUGCCUGACUUGAGUCCGGAAGGGGCGAGUGGAAUUCCUGGUGUAGCGGUGAAAUGCGUAGAUAUCUGGAGGAACACCGGUGGCGAAGGCGGCGACCUGGGUAGAUACUGACGCUGAGGUGCGAAAGCGUGGGGAGCAAACAGG